rnacentral:lncRNA from 1 species
CAGAAAACACUUAAGCCUGAGCAGGGUCUUGGUGAAGAUCAUAGCAGUCCAGUCUCUAGCACUGAUAAAGUGGAAAAAUCUAAAAAACAUGUUGUUGCUAGCCAAUGCAUUGAUAAGGGCUGGAGUCAUGGUCCAGGUGAAGGUCAGGUUUCAAGUGUAGAUAGACGGAACCGUGGACUUUCCCAAAGAAUAGAGGCUCUUUUUAUAGCCCCACCCGGGCAUGGCUCAGAGGAGAGACUUGCCCGCAUGAGGGAGGUGGACACUGUCUCACGAAUGAGACGCCUUAGCCUCCGUAGCUCAGACUCUUGGGAUGGACUGCAUGGGGUGGGAAGGUGGGGAGAUUAUGGAUGGGAGAAAGAAUGCCCCCUUCCUGGCCCACAGGAUUCUUCAAACAUCACAAAGGUAGAGGAUAAAGAGGGCAGCGCCCAUCCUGCAGUCACCAGUGAACCUAAAGAAACAAAAGACGACCAGGCAACCCUAAAAGAGUCACAGGAGCCCAGCCAGGUGGAGAGGUCGUAGCUGAACCCUAGAGGUCAGAGGUCAUCUAACUAAGGGCCAGCCUCCAGCACUGUGACCUGGCUGUCUGUUAAAUGCCUUCAUCCUCAUAUGCUAUUGAAACAUCCUCAGACAUUGACACACAUAUAUACACAACAUUAGACACAAACACACUGAGCGAUGCAUCUCUCUUUAAUACACACGUCUGUGCAUUAACACACACAAACUGACACACAAACACACAAAGUCAUUGUCAUGUAUGCAGAUGCUCACAUGCAUUCAGAACACAUUUAAACACCUAACCACACUGAGACAUCUGAAAUGGCCUUCUACUCCGACAAGAGCAUUGUGUAUCAACUCUACUCCACACCCACUCAGUUCCAGCUCUGCUGGCUUUCUAAGUGUUGCUGUUCCACUGCCAGAAGGAGGUUCCCAAUAAUGCCCCACCCGCUUCAUAUAUUACAGUUCUCAUCAUGCCCCAUUUUUCUUAAUGUCGUGCCCUUGUCAUACAUCUUUCCCCUGC